rnacentral:rRNA from 1 species
GGGUCAAUAAGUUGGUCGUACUUAUGGUAUGUACUGGCUUUAUUGAUUCCUACCUCUUGACGAACUGUGAUGCCAUUAAUUUGGUGUUGCAAGGAAUCAGGACUGUUACCUUGAAAAAAUUAGAGUGUUUAAAGCAAGCUUACGCUUGAAUACAUUAGCAUGGAAUAAUGAAAUAGGACGUUUGAUCCUAUUUUGUUGGUUUCUAGGAUUGACGUA